rnacentral:rRNA from 1 species
CAGCCGCCGCGGGAAUACAGAGGGUGCGAGCGUUAUCCGGAAUCAUUGGGUUUAAAGGGUCCGUAGGCGGUCUUGUAAGUCAGUGGUGAAAGCCCAUCGCUCAACGGUGGAACGGCCGUUGAUACUGCAGGACUUGAAUUAUUGGGAAGUAACUAGAAUAUGUAGUGUAGCGGUGAAAUGCUUAGAGAUUACAUGGAAUACCAAUUGCGAAGGCAGGUUACUACCAAUUGAUUGACGCUGAUGGACGAAAGCGUGGGUAGCGAACAGGAUUAGAUACCCGAGUAGUCCCUGUCUCUUAUAC